rnacentral:piRNA from 1 species
CACAGAAUGCAUUGGUCAAUGCCACUCUG